ACCUCGAGAAAGUCUUUCGGUGCAUAAACGGGCCUGAAGCGACUUAAACCUGGUUCAUCUGUGCCCAUCUCGUUCCACUUGUUGGUGAGCUCCUUCUGCUCGGCUCCGGGCCUCUGUGGGAGCAGGAGGGAACAGAGGGGUCUUUACAAAACAAACAACACGCGGCCCGAAGAACACAGAUCUUGGCUAUGUUUAAAUACAGUUGUGUGCACGCACAGGAACACAGAGAUAAAAAAAAA